GUUAUCAGCAAAAAUCAGCAUGGUUUUAUGAAGCACAGGUCAUGUCAAACUAACUUGAUUUCAUCCUACAAAGAAGUAAGUAGAAGUAUACAUCAGGGUAUUGCAGUGGAUGUGAUCUAUUUGGAUUUUGCCAAGGUGUUUGAUACAGUUCCACACAAUAGAGGAGUAUUUAAACUCAAAGAAAUCGGUGUAGAUGAAAAUUCUUGUUCUUGG